rnacentral:rRNA from 1 species
GACGAACGCUGGCGGCGUGCUUAACACAUGCAAGUCGAACGGAAAGGCCCUGCUUUUGUGGGGUGCUCGAGUGGCGAACGGGUGAGUAACACGUGAGUAACCUGCCCUUGACUUUGGGAUAACUUCAGGAAACUGGGGCUAAUACCGGAUAGGAGCUCCUGCUGCAUGGUGGGGGUUGGAAAGUUUCGGCGGUUGGGGAUGGACUCGCGGCUUAUCAGCUUGUUGGUGGGGUAGUGGCUUACCAAGGCUUUGACGGGUAGCCGGCCUGAGAGGGUGACCGGCAAAAUGGGGACUGAGAUACGGCCAAGACUCCGAGGGGAGGAAGAAGGGGGGAAAAUUGAACAAUGGGCGGAAGCCUGAUGAAGAAACGCGGCGUGGGGGAUGACGGCCUUCGGGUUGGAAACCGCUUUCGCCUGUGACGAAGCGUGAGUGACGGUAAUGGGAAAAGAAAAACCGGCUAACUACGU